GCGGACGUGGCGAAAUCGGUAGACGCAGCAGACUUAAAAUCUGCUUCUCCUGUGAGAGUGCGGGUUCGAGUCCCGCCGUCCGCACCA
rnacentral:tRNA from 5 species